rnacentral:rRNA from 1 species
UACGGAGGGUGCAAGCGUUAAUCGGAAUUACUGGGCGUAAAGCGUGCGCAGGCGGUUUGUUAAGUCUGUUGUGAAAUCCCCGAGCUCAACUUGGGAAUUGCAAUGGAUACUGGCAAGCUAGAGUAUGGUAGAGGGUGGUGGAAUUUCCCUGUGUAGCGGUGAAAUGCGUAGAUAUAGGAAGGAACACCAGUGGCGAAGGCGACCACCUGGACUGAUACUGACACUUGAGGGUGCGAAAAAGCGUGGGGGGAGC